GAUAUAGUUGUAGAUAACCAAGUUGCAUUUAUACAGGUAGAUAUUUGGUGCACAAAGUGUUGAUAAGCCAUGAUUUGAUUAGGCAAUAUAUCAGGAAGACUACUCCUAGAUGUAUGCUGAAAAUUAAUUUGAGGAAAGAUUAUGCGUUGUCAAAUGGGAGUUUAUUAAUGAGAUGUUGAAGAGGUAUCGGUUUCCACAAUAGUUUAUCAAGAUAGUGAUUGUAACGAUCUGUUUUUUGAUGAAAUAUGUGAAAUAUGCAUUUAUGUGUGAUUUGACUAUUUUACCGCUCUCUGUAGUUGCAUUAUGGUAUUUCUGGGGUGUGGGUGUGAUUGACAUAGUUUUUGAUUUAUUUUGGUACCAUUUAUGUGAUAUUGUGGUUUUUGAUGGUUUCAAGAGUCUUAUUUUGGACUUAUAUGGAUAUUAUUUGAUUUGUGUGAUGGAUGGUUAAACGGACUACGCCAACAGCUCCAGAAUAUCGAUUUUAGGCUAGGUAGACCUUUGAUUCGAGUUCCGAUGCACCCGAGCUUAUUUUGACCUAUUGAUUGAAAAUUUGAAAAAUUAAAAAUAUGAGUGUGGGACCCACAUUUGAUCGAAAUGACUUUGAAUAAAAAAAAUAAGACUAUAUCAGCAGCUCUGGAAUAUCGAUUUUAGGAUGGUAACAAGUUUGGUGUGAUUUUAUGCCUUUUAAAUCUCAUUUCGAUCCUCGAUUUGAAAAAUUGUGAUUUCGAAUUUUAGGGAUCAACUCUAUGAAAAUGAUAUUUUUUUCGAAAAUUCAACUUCGGCAACACAUUUGAAAAGUCAAAUUUAGUGUAGUUUCAUAGUCCAUUUACGUAUAUCUGCCUCCGAAUGAAUCUAGGAAACCACGUCGAGGUCCCUUUGGACUUAGAAAAAUCUAAAGUGCAGAUUUUUCUGCAAUAAUGCAGUUUUUUUUACCCCUUUUUGGCUCAUUUUGUCCAUUCUUUCACCUUGUCUCUUGAAAGUUAAAUUCUAAAAUUGUGUGGGAGUUUAAAAGUGAAGUUUGUAGGAGCUUGGAAAGCUAGAUUAACAUCUAUUUCUUGAUUCUCUUAAGGAUUUAAGGUAAGAAUUCACCCUUUUCUUAAUAAUUUCUUGAUUAAUUUCUCAAAAUCUGAAAAAUCUUAAGGCUUGAUUUUAAACCCCAAUUGCACUCCUUUUCACUUGAGUAAUAUUUUAAUCUCAUAAUUACUAGUUUUUCAUCAAUUUAACCUUAAAAAAAAUUUGAUUCUUGAUUUUAACCCGUAUUUCAAAGAUUUUACCUGAUAAAGCUUAAAAUUAUUUUUCUUCGAUUUGAACCUCAUUUUUUCUCAAUUUUUAAUUUGGAUUUUCAGUUGUAGGUUCCUAAAAAUAUGGAAAACACAUUUUUAAAGUAAAGUUAUGAUUUUGUCGUUCUUUUAUGAAAAUCCAUUUCGGAGGUCCGUUUUGACUCCGAACUCAAAGUAGUCAAUAUGAGUGUCGUUAGUUUUUUUAUGUGUAGAUUUCAUUUUUGAUAUUUCUAGUGAAGUUUGGAAUCAUUAGUGAAAAGUAAUGUCAUGGGCUCAAAGUGUGGUGGACCAAUUUCGGCAUUCAAAAAUAGGUUAUAGCUUAACUCUUUCAGACUGGGUUGGGUAGUAAAUGAUGGUACAAAAUGCAUGUGAAGGGUGAGAAUUAAUCAUGAAAAAAGUGGCUAUCUAUGUGUUGUGCCCGUGUGGGGGCCUAUAUGUGAUGCAAUUGUCGAAAGUGAAAUAUUAUGUGAUAUUUGUGAUCGUGUGGGGUCCUAUGUGAUAUUGAUAGCCUUGAAUACAUGUGUAUAAUUGUAUUGUAUUAUUAAAAUGCUUAAUGUGGUACCAUUGAUGUAUUGUGAUUAUAUUAUACAUUAUUGACAUAUGAGACAUGUGAAAAUUCAUGGAUGAAACGAAAAUAAUAAAUGGAUAUUGGCUCACGUAGUUGUGAAAAUAUAUCACAGUGGUUGGUUAUGAAAAUAUAUUAUGUGGUUGGUUAUGGAAAUACUCAUUGUUAUUGAUUGCAAGCACUACAUCCUUAUAUCAUACUCAUUCAUGAAAUAUUGGUAUCAUCGUAGCAAUAUAUAAGUAACACUGGCCACACUUUUCUAAUCCCCCGUCCCCCAAGGGAUAUACCGGAGAGGAGAUAUUAUAAUACCUUAUAAAACUCUUUCCGAGUGAUGUACCGGAAAGGAGAUAUGAGAUAUGUGGAUUGUAAACGGGUUGACAAACCCCCCAUGGAUCCUGCAUUGAGAGUCUUGCCUCCUUAGGAUAUACGAAGAUUGUGCGACGACCCCGGAGGUUAUGUGAUGACCUCGUGCAUCAUCAUCAUCAUAUACAUUGCACUUACUUUAUUGUAUUUAUGUUGUGCAUGUAUUGCCAUAUUUACUUGUUAACUAUCUAUUUGUGCUAUAUUCUUGACUUGUAAAUAUCUAAUUAUUUUAUCUUUCUUCAUUUGUACAUGAUACAAGAUGAUCUUGAUUAUAGAUGUUCCUCUUUUUUUCUAUUGUAAAUGAUAUUGUGUGUAUUUGUAUCCCUAUCUGGUGUGUUGAUGUAUUAUCUGUUGAUAUUAUAAAUCUGCUAGUGCAAGCGGUAUGGGCUACCAUUGUGGGACAUUUUCUGAUUACUGAUGACAUGCCCUUAGGGUGUAUUUUGUAUGCUUUAUGUAUAAGUGGAUCAUACUUAUUCCUACUUUACCCUUCUGGUACAGAUCUAGGUUCGAGUGUGCCUCACACUGCUUCACUCGGGCGAUUAUUGGAGUUUUUAAGGUAGUGGGUGACUUUCAUGCAUUUGAAUGGGUCCUACUAUCUUUCUCUAUCAGACCAUGUCUUUAUUGUAUUUCAAAGACAGGGUUUUCAUGUUUUGAGUUACCUUAUGUAUUCUCUUUUGGACUUGAGUUAUAUUAAUAGUUCUUCUAUUGACACUAGAUUUUGAGAAUGUAUGGUUUUGGAUAGGCUCUUUUUGUAUUGUUAUAAUUACUUUUAUGGUUCAUCUUUGUUCUAGGAGUCUUACCUUGGGCUUUUUUUUCUUUUUUUCUUUUUAUAUCAGUUUGAAUGAUAGGAUUACUUAUCAAAGUAUGCUACGACAAGUGUCAUCAUGACCCUUAUUUUUGGAUCGUGAUAGUGAUGACUUGUGUUAUCUCAACAAAGUUCUCCAUUAAUGUGAAUGAUGAAGGCUAUGGAUAUUUCGGGGGGGAGGGGGCUUGAUAUGGGGGAUCUCAGUUCUCUUAUGUUAUUUGUUAAGGUGAUAGAUUACUUGACUAAAAUACCAAGGAAAAUGGCACUACUCUCAUAUUUCAGAUACAACCCCCAUUGUAAGGAUUUAAAACUAACUCAUUUGGUGUUUGCAGAUGAUUUACUAUGUUUUGCAAAAGGAAUGAGGCAUCAAUCAGAAGAGAAAUGGAGACACUCAACCAUUUUUAGGAGUUCAAUAGUUUGAGGUUAAUAUGGACAAAUUUAGUUUGUAUAUUGCAGGGGUUACAGAGCAAGUCAGGGAUAGUGUGUUACAGAUAAUAGGUUUUGCAUUGGGGAAAUUUUGUUAUGAGAUACUUGGGGCUUCCUUUAUCUCCUAGGAAAGGUGUUGAAACAGGUAGUAAAAGGUGUUCCAACUAUGUCAAAUUACUACUACAAUGACUUAGUGAAGUUAGUUAUAACUAACCUCUAGCUCACCACUAACCAACCAACUAACCUACUAGUAGUCUUAGCUCACUUAGUAACUGCCUAUAUAUACACAUGUAUUAUGUACUAUUGAAUAACAACUUGAAUAAUAGAAUUACAUUCUUGGUUAAUACUAAAUGAUCAUCUCUGUUCUCUCUUCUCUCUUCUCUUUCUCUCUUCCUUACUUGCUUCCUUGCUUAGUUAUUCAUGGUGAUUCGUAUGAUCAAAUUUGCAAAAUGCUGGAACAACAGAAUCAAGUUUCAACAUCUAUGCCCUCUGCUACUGCAGCAAAUAUGGCAGGUAUUGGUAGGGCCUGUUGGUCAGCAAUAAACCACAUGAGUGGAUUAUUGAUACAGGUGCUACAAAUCACAUGACAGGAGACAUUGAACUUCUUAUAGGAACACUAUACAAAAUGUGUUCCAUUUACCUCAAUUCAAAUAUAACUUGUUAUUAGUCUCACAGGAUACUAAACAACUUAAUUGUUCUGCAACUUUCUUUCCUAACUUCUGUGUAUUUUAGGAUCUUUGGAAUGGGAAGGCGAAGGAUAUUGGUAGAGAAAAGAAUGGAUCACACUUUCUACUGGGACAAAAUCUACCAGGACAUAGUAGAGUAGCUGAAUGUGUGCUCAAUAUUGAGGUAACAGAUAAAUAAAUCUUCAACUGUGUCAUAAGAGGCUUGGACAUGUUCCAUAUAGAAUACUGUGU
rnacentral:lncRNA from 1 species